UAGAAAGUAAGGAAAUCCUACAAGAAUUCUUCGAUUCUUUUAUAAGGGGCAACAGAGUAAUGGGUACCCAGAAGGAGAAGAGAGAGAGAAGGGAGUAGAGCAACUGUCUAAAGAAAUAAUAGCUGAGAACAUCCCAGACAGGGGAAGGAAGUGGAUAAGCAAGUCCAUGAGGCUAAGAGAACUCCUAAUUACUUCAACACAAAAAGACCUUCUCCAACACACAUUAUGUUAAAACUGUCAGAAGUCAAUGACAAAUAAUUUUAUAGGCAGCAAUAAAAAAAAAAAAAGGAACCCUACAAAGGAACUCCCAUUGGGCCAUCAUCAGAUUUCUCAGCAGAAACCCUGCAGGCCAGGCAAGAGCAGAAUGACGUUCUUAAAAUACUGAAUGAUAAAAAAUGCCAGCCAGAAAUACUCUCUCCAGCAAAGUUGUCCUUCAAGAGAAUGAAGAUUGCCCAGGAUAAUAUGUACAAUUGUAAAUACCAUGUGAAAGAUGGCAUUUUAAGUAGGAAUUUCAGGAGAGGGAGAAGAGAAGCCACGUGGAUAUUUCAGGGAUGAUUUCCUGCCUGAGGUUAGAGCAAGCCUGAUGUGUUCAAGGACCAGUAGGGAGGCUCAAAGGAAACGGUGUGAGCGAGGGGAAUAUAGCUGGAGGUCAUCAGAGAUGUGGUGAAGUACCAGCUCCUCAAAGACGCUGAAGCACUGGGGGCCGUUGUCAUGGAGCAGGAUGCCAAGGCAGAUGCCAGGGAGUAUUAGGUGAGCCCUGGCUGGCACAGGUGCCAAGUGCCUGGUGUCCACAUGGGGCUGAAGAGGUCACUGGGCCUCAGGCCUGAGAAGUUUGAAACCUGUGUGCUCUGGUUUGUGGCUACAGCUGAGGCCGGAGGACCCCCACGUUCUCACACACCCGCGUUUUGGAUCACCUGUGCAGGUGGCUCCCCUGAGCGAAUCACCUGAACAGCGGGGAAAGAAGAGAUCAACCCCUGCGCGCCUGAAUCAGGAAGAGCACCUUUCCACUGGCUGUGUCCCUCCAGCGCCUGCUACUGGCAGAGCUUAACAUUGUGUUCACAGGGCAAAAGGUUGAUACAGAGCCCCUGUUUGAGUUACCUGAGCCAUACAGCAAUUUCCCACUGGAUAUCCAUUUUACACGUGGUAAUGUCAAAGACCCUCCUAUUUUAAACUCAGAGCAACCUCACCCUUAGAGCACUUAGCCUGGAUGUUCCACACACAGCCCCAGCAUUUACUGUCAUCGCCUCCAACAUCAUGUAAGUUCCAUGUCUGCUUCUUUUCCUUAGUAGCAUAUUCCCACUGGGAACCCACUAAGCAUCCCAAAGAAAUAUUUACCAAAUAAAUGCAUUUACUGAUAGUAAACAUAACACUAGCUUUGACAUGUUCUCUUAAAUAGAAUGUUUUUAAAAACAUCAAGCUUUUGAUCAUUACUUAAGUGAUGACAAAUAUUUUAAGGAGAAAGAGGAACUGUGAUCAGAUGUUCCACAAAGGUAAUCUGAGGAUCAGUUUUUACUUUGACAAAUGCAAUAAAGACUCUCACUUUCUCAUAAUCAUGACAGGAAGUCAGGUGUCUGGCACUACGUCCCCCACAUAAAGCACAGCUGAGAGCUGCCUGGGUUGACCUGCUGUGUUUCUCCAGUGCAUCACAAUUACUGGCUUCCUUGUGUGUCCCCAAGGGGCCUGAAGAGAGACUGUACUCCUGGCUCUAUGGAGCUUCCUUCUGCUCCAGACCUUCUCCUUUCCCCUCCUGCCCUCUCUCAUUUUAAAUGACCAGGCACCCUCAGGAAGUAAUCCCUGGAUGUUGACUGCAUCAUU
ensembl:lncRNA